rnacentral:rRNA from 1 species
CCUACGGGAGGCAGCAGUAAGGAAUAUUGGUCAAUGGACGCAAGUCUGAACCAGCCAUGCCGCGUGAAGGAUUAAGGCCCUCUGGGUUGUAAACUUCUUUUAUAGGGGACGAAAAAAGGGCAUUCUUGCUCACUUGACGGUACCCUAGGAAUAAGCACCGGCUAACUCCGUGCCAGCAGCCGCGGUAAUACGGAGGGUGCAAGCGUUAUCCGGAUUUACUGGGUUUAAAGGGUGCGUAGGUGGGUUGGUAAGUCAGUGGUGAAAUCUUCGAGCUUAACUCGGAAACUGCCAUUGAUACUAUCAAUCUUGAAUCAUCUAGAGGUAAGCGGAAUAUGUCAUGUAGCGGUGAAAUGCUUAGAUAUGACAUAGAACACCAAUUGCGAAGGCAGCUUACUAUGGAUGUAUUGACACUGAGGCACGAAAGCGUGGGGAUCAAACAGGAUUAGAUACCCUGGUAGUCCACGCCCUAAACGAUGGAUACUCGACAUUUGUGAUAUACUAUAAGUGUCUGAGCGAAAGCAUUAAGUAUCCACCUGGGAAGUACGACCGCAAGGUUGAAACUCAAAGGAAUUGACGG